AUGGUGGAUUGGCAGCCUGAUUUUCAAGCUCUAGUUGAAAAAAUAUGGGCUACACCUUCCCCUUUUACAUCUGCCAUUGAGACCUGGCAGUUUAAAACUAAGCUUUUUAGGAAACAAGUUAAAGGUUGGAGCAUUAAUAUUGAGGCUGCUAUGAAAAAGAAGAAAAAGGAGCUUCUCCAGGAGUUUGAUAUUUCAGACAUUUUCUCUGAACAAAACAGAAUUAAUAGUGAGGAUAUCCUCAGAAUGAAACAAAUCAAGGAAGAGCUUCAUGAGAUUUGGAGGAAAGAAGAAACUGCCAUGUGGCAGAGAUCUAGGGACAGGAAAAUCAAAGAGGGAGAUAGGAAUACAUCAUACUUCCAUGAUGUGGCUAAUCAAAGAAGGAGGAAGAAUCAGCUGUCCAUCUUAGAAGGCCCUGAUGGACCUGUAUACUCUACCAAAGAUAUGCUGGAAGUGGCAACUAACUUCUAUAAAAACCUUUUUGGGUUUGAACCUAAACCUAACAUUCACCUGGAUGAUCAUUUUUGGUUUGAAGAGGAACGAGUGACUAUAGCUGAGAAUGAGAUAUUAGAAAGGCCUUUUUCAGAAGAAGAAAUUAAGGAAGCUAUUAUGGGCUCAUAUGCCAAUGGAGCCCCUGGGCCUGAUGGUUUAUCCUUUAUUUUUUACCAACAUUUUUGGGAUAUUAUUAAAGGAGACUUUAUGGCUCUUGUGAGGGAUUUUGAGAGUGGGUCUCUGGAUAUCCAGAGGUUAAAUUACUCUAUAGUCACUCUCAUUCCUAAAGAACCAGAUGCUAAGAAUAUGAAAAAAUUUCGGCCUAUUUGUUUAAGCAACUGCUCUGUGAAGAUUUUCAGCAAAGCCAUGACAAAUAGGUUUCCCCUAUAG
rnacentral:rRNA from 1 species